rnacentral:rRNA from 1 species
GAGGCUUCCGGACUGGCCCAGAGGAGGUCGGCAACGACCACUCAGGGCCGGAAAGCUAUCCAAACUCGGUCAUUUAGAGGAAGUAAAAGUCGUAACAAGGUCUCCGUUGGUGAACCAGCGGAGGGAUCAUUA